GACGAACGCUGGCGGCGUGCUUAACACAUGCAAGUCGAACGGUAAGGCCCUUCGGGGUACACGAGUGGCGAACGGGUGAGUAACACGUGGGCAACCUGCCCCUCACUUCGGGAUAACUCCGGGAAACCGGGGCUAAUACCGGAUAUGACCUCCUUGGGCAUCCUUGGAGGUGGAAAGUUUUUCGGUGAGGGAUGGGCCCGCGGCCUAUCAGCUUGUUGGUGAGGUAGUGGCUCACCAAGGCGACGACGGGUAGCCGGCCUGAGAGGGCGACCGGCCACACUGGGACUGAGACACGGCCCAGACUCCUACGGGAGGCAGCAGUGGGGAAUAUUGCGCAAUGGGCGAAAGCCUGACGCAGCAACGCCGCGUGCGGGAUGACGGCCUUCGGGUUGUAAACCGCUUUCAGCAGGGAAGAAGCCGCAUGGUGACGGUACCUGCAGAAGAAGCACCGGCUAACUACGUGCCAGCCGCCGCCGUAA
rnacentral:rRNA from 1 species